CCUACGGUGGGCUGCAGUGGGGAAUAUUGGACAAUGGGCGAAAGCCUGAUCCAGCCAUGCCGCGUGUGUGAAGAAGGCCUUCGGGUUGUAAAGCACUUUCAGUGGGGAAGAAAGCCUUGGGGCUAAUACCCUCGAGGAAGGACAUCACCCACAGAAGAAGCACCGGCUAACUCCGUGCCAGCAGCCGCGGUAAUACGGAGGGUGCGAGCGUUAAUCGGAAUUACUGGGCGUAAAGCGCGCGUAGGCGGUCUGAUAAGCCGGUUGUGAAAGCCCCGGGCUCAACCUGGGAACGGCAUCCGGAACUGUCAGGCUAGAGUGCAGGAGAGGAAGGUAGAAUUCCCUGUGUAGCGGUGAAAUGCGUAGAGAUCGGGAGGAAUACCAGUGGCGAAGGCGGCCUUCUGGACUGACACUGACGCUGAGGUGCGAAAGCGUGGGUAGCAAACAGGAUUAGAUACCCUUGUAGUC
rnacentral:rRNA from 1 species